rnacentral:rRNA from 1 species
UACGAAGGGUGCUAGCGUUGUUCGGAAUCACUGGGCGUAAAGCGCGCGUAGGCGGCUUUUCAAGUCAGGGGUGAAAUCCCACAGCUUAACUGUGGAACUGCCUUUGAAACUGUAAAGCUGGAAUGCAAGAGGGGAUAGCGGAAUUGCUAAUGUAGAGGUGAAAUUCGUAGAUAUUAGCAGGAACACCGGUGGCGAAGGCGGCUAUCUGGAUUGCAAUUGACGCUGAGGCGCGAAAGCAUGGGGAUCAAACAGGAUUAGAUACCCUGGUAGUCCAUGCCAUAAACGAUGAGUGCUAGCCGUCGGGCCCGUAGGGUUCGGUGGCGCCGCUAACGCAUUAAGCACUCCGCCUGGGGAGUACGGUCGCAAGAUUAAA